rnacentral:rRNA from 1 species
AUAGCCAUUGGAAACGAUGAUUAAUACCUGAUAACACCUCUGAAACACAUGUUUCUAAGGUCAAAGAUUUAUCGGUAUAGGAUUGGACCCGCGUCUGAUUAGUUAGUUGGUGAGGUAGCGGCUCACCAAGACUACGAUCAGUAGCCGACCUGAGAGGGUGAUCGGCCACCACUGGAACUGAGACACGGUCCAG